GUGGGGAAUAUUGGACAAUGGGCGAAAGCCUGAUCCAGCCAUGCCGCGUGUGUGAAGAAGGUCUUCGGAUUGUAAAGCACUUUAAGUUGGGAGGAAGGGCAGUAAGUUAAUACCUUGCUGUUUUGACGUUACCGACAGAAUAAGCACCGGCUAACUUCGUGCCAGCAGCCGCGGUAAUACGAAGGGUGCAAGCGUUAAUCGGAAUUACUGGGCGUAAAGCGCGCGUAGGUGGUUUUGUAAGUUGGAGGUGAAAUCCCCGGGCUCAACCUGGGAACUGCCUCCAAAACUGCAUGACUAGAGUACGGUAGAGGGUAGUGGAAUUUCCUGUGUAGCGGUGAAAUGCGUAGAUAUAGGAAGGAACACCAGUGGCGAAGGCGACUACCUGGACAGUAACUGACGCUGAGACGCGAAAGCGUGGGGAGCAAACAGGAUUAGAAACCCGGGUAGUCC
rnacentral:rRNA from 1 species